rnacentral:rRNA from 1 species
CAAACUUGGUCAUUUACGAGGAAGUAAAAGUCGUAACAAGG